ACAACCCAACAACUGGACAAGAAGAUGAUAUCAGAAGAGAAAGGAGACUUCAGGGUUCUGCUGUCACCAAAAUGUGCUUCACUGACUCCUGAAGCAAAGACAGGACUUCAAUGGGGUUUGGAAACAUCUCAUACCACAUGGAAGGUGGGAAAAUCUUCUGUAUCAUUUAUGCCUUACUGGAGAUUCUCCUCUUUGGUUUUCUGCUGGCUGGAGUCAGAGAUCAACUAGGAACCAUAUUUGGAAAAGAAAUUUCCAAAGUGGAAGACAUGUUUACUUAAUUUUCCCUGCAAGCAACCAUUUUCCUAUUUUCAUAACAUGAAUGAUGUUACUGGAAACAUCACCGGAUAAGAG